AGCAGGAACGUACUGCUGUCAGUAGGGCUCCCCCUGCUGGCGAUAAUUAUCCUUAUCAUUGCUGUAGGGAUCUAUAAGUUUAGACACAAGAUUGGACAGACAAAACCUCCUUCUGACCAAUCAAAUACAGGCAUUCCUCUCUCUAAGACCCCAGCUGUUGCAAAAGAUGAAGAGCCGGUUUAUCAUCAGAUUCAAACAGG